ACAGGUGCUGCAUGGCUGUCGUCAGCUCGUGUCGUGAGAUGUUGGGUUAAGUCCCGCAACGAGCGUAACCCUUGUCUUAGUUGCCAUUAUUAAGUUAGGCACUCUAAAGAGACUGCCUCGGUUAACGGGGAGGAAGGUGGGGAUGACGUCAAGUCCUCAUGGCCUUUAUAUCCAGGGCUACACACGUGCUACAAUGGACUGUACAAAGGGUUGCUAUCCCGCGAGGGGGCGCUAAUCCCAAAAAGCAGUUCUCAGUUCGGAUUGAAGUCUGCAACUCGACUUCAUGAAGGUGGAAUCGCUAGUAAUCGUGGAUCAGCAUGCCACGGUGAAUACGUUCCCGGGCCUUGUACACACCGCCCGUCA
rnacentral:rRNA from 1 species